rnacentral:rRNA from 1 species
GCUGAAACACCGGUUCUCGUACGAUCACCGAAGUUAAGCGGCGUAGAGCCAGGUCAGUACUUAGAUGGGGGACCGCUUGGGAACACCUGGUACUGUAAG